GAACAGUGACACUGGAGAUGCGCAUUCAUGAGAAUUCUCAAUUUCUUUCUUUCAGCCUUUGAAUGAAUACAACGUCGCCCGGUUGGAAUAUUAUCGCUAUUUUAUGAGAAAAAUAGCAUAAAAAUUGAUUUUGAACAGCGUUUGAUAUGCUUCGAAGUACGGUAAUGGAAUAUUUGGAAUUUUUUUGUCAUGAAAUGAGCUCGCCUUCGGAUAGUGACUUGAACGCACGAACAAAACGGAGCUAUUUAGAUAUAACUAUGGAUUAUUUGGAACCAAAACAACAUUUGUUGUUGAAGUAGAAGUCCUGGGAGUGCAUUCUGACGAAGAACAGCAAAGGGUCAUCGCUGAGGAAGGCCUGAAGUAUGAGGAGGACCAUGAGUUCAUGGACUUCUUGAUGGAAGGUGCUUUUGAUGAGGAGCUACUUGGUGAAGACGAGGGUGAAGAGUAUGAGACACACACAUAGGACAGACAGGAGAGUUCAAAUGGUACACAAUCCAGAACAGAACAUCCAGGUUAAGGGUCAGUGGUCCAAGCCCGCGAACAGGAAUAUUCCAAGUUCAGACAGAAGGGGAAACAGAUCGCUAUGAUCGCCAGGAGCUUCGCUUUGGUUUAUAUUUUCAUUUGUUGCGCAGUACUGCCUGUUUAUGUUAAGGAGGCAGCUACAAUUGCUGGAUGAUAUUAACAUCUUGUGAUUUUAUUUCAUUAAAUGUAUUUCAUCUGGUUGCUUGCGUCACCUACUAACACCCUGGUACUACCCGUAGCUCCCGUUCUCCUCAGUCCAAGAAAAUACUGUGAGAGAAAGGUAUGUGUCGCAGAUGACUCCUGUGUAGAAGUCCACAACCUUAAAUAAAGUAUCCCAAGGUUAAUGCUAUAGGUAUUGUUAUAAGGGAG
rnacentral:lncRNA from 1 species